AGAGUUUGAUCCUGGCUCAGGACGAACGCUGGCGGCGUGCCUAACACAUGCAAGUCGAACGGAACUGUUUUGAAAGAUUUCUUCGGAAUGAAUUUGAUUUAGUUUAGUGGCGGACGGGUGAGUAACGCGUGAGUAACCUGCCUUCAAGAGGGGGAUAACAUUCUGAAAAGAAUGCUAAUACCGCAUGACAUAUCGGAAUCACAUGAUUCUGAUAUCAAAGAUUUUAUCGCUUGAAGAUGGACUCGCGUCCGAUUAGUUAGUUGGUGAGGUAACGGCUCACCAAGACCGCGAUCGGUAGCCGGACUGAGAGGUUGAACGGCCACAUUGGGACUGAGACACGGCCCAGACUCCUACGGGAGGCAGCAGUGGGGGAUAUUGCGCAAUGGGGGCAACCCUGACGCAGCAACGCCGCGUGAAGGAUGAAGGUUUUCGGAUUGUAAACUUCUUUUAUUAAGGACGAAAUUUGACGGUACUUAAUGAAUAAGCUCCGGCUAACUACGUGCCAGCAGCCGCGGUAAUACGUAGGGAGCAAGCGUUGUCCGGAUUUACUGGGUGUAAAGGGUGCGUAGGCGGCUUUGCAAGUCAGAUGUGAAAUCUAUGGGCUCAACCCAUAAACUGCAUUUGAAACUGUAGAGCUUGAGUGAAGUAGAGGCAGGCGGAAUUCCCCGUGUAGCGGUGAAAUGCGUAGAGAUGGGGAGGAACACCAGUGGCGAAGGCGGCCUGCUGGGCUUUAACUGACGCUGAGGCACGAAAGCGUGGGUAGCAAACAGGAUUAGAUACCCUGGUAGUCCACGCUGUAAACG
rnacentral:rRNA from 1 species